UCACCCCCGUUUGGCACAUGCCGAAAUUGAAUCUUAGCCCUUAAUCUUGCCGGCUAAUUGUACUAGAGAACUUGAACCGUUGAUGCCUUAUCUAUACUCUGCAACGUCACAACUACCCACUUUGGCACCGUAGGCGACUUGAUCUCUAUAUAUCAUGCCAAAUCAGAAGCAAGAACUCGCUCAAGUACUUAUUUUUUAAUAUAGUGCACUCGAAGCUAGCAAAGAUCUUUUCUGACUUGAAGAAUAUGAAAACUCUUGCUGGCGCAGGUAUUUAGGCCUACUUCAGUUUCUUUUUUGAGAAGGGCCAACUUCAGUUGAAUAUCAUUUAUAAUUCUUUUUUUAAUAUAUGCAUUUAUGAAUAUAUUUUUCAAUAUAAAAUUUUUAGGUAUGAGCGAUCCGUCAGAAGGUUUGGUACUCCCUUCUAGUAUUGCUGAUGAUGAUGUUGGAAAUGACAAUCUUGAUCUUAUUGUUAUUCCUCAAUAUGGGAGAAAUCCUGAUUAUUAUGGGUAAGUGUCUGCAAUCUGGAUGAUGAUAUAUGUAAUUAAAUAAAAGGAUGGGUACAGUUAUUACCUAUCAAUCAUAAGAGUGUCAAUUUAGUUCAGUUCACUAAUAAAAAUCUCUUAUACAAGAGAUUAUCUUUGUUUGCGUUCAUGUACUUUGUCUUCUUUAAUUAAUAAAUAAAAUUAUUGUGUAUCAAUGUGUUGAUUAAAUUAGUCCAUUAAUAGAUAUAAAAUCAUUUGAAUUUGUCCACAUAUUAGUUUAGUUAAUUGUGCUCUCUUUCUUCUUGAAUAUUUGUUAAACAAAGUCUACCUAUUAGUUAGCUAAAAAUUGCAGCUCGCAGGGAACCAAGAUCUUUAAAAUUAAUUACGAACGUUUAUGCUUCUUAAAUGGCUUGUGUCAUCGUGAUAAUGCCAUU
rnacentral:lncRNA from 1 species